rnacentral:misc_RNA from 1 species
CCAGAGGCUGGCUAACAUAACCAGGUUGUGGUGUUGCAGAAGGCCCAUACCCAGCCUGCGCAGCUCCCUGAGAAGGAUAACUUGCUGGAGUAGAAGACGGUUGCUGUGCAACAUAUCCUUGUUGAGUUGUAGAAGGUUGAACUGAUUGAGCAGGGGGCACUUGGGCAGGCACACCAGGGGCACUGUACGUAGGAGCAGAUCCAUCUUGAGUUUGGCUAACUGUUGAUCCAUAAGCAGUUUGGG